AGUGAACGCUGGCGGCAGGCCUAACACAUGCAAGUCGAACGGCAGCACAGCAGUAGCAAUACUGUGGGUGGCGAGUGGCGGACGGGUGAGGAAUACAUGGGAAUCUACCCUGUCGUGGGGGAUAACGUAGGGAAACUUACGCUAAUACCGCAUACGACCGAGAGGUGAAAGCGGCGGACCGCAAGGCGUCGCGCGAUUGGAUGAGCCCAUGUCGGAUUAGCUAGUUGGCGGGGUAAAGGCCCACCAAGGCGACGAUCCGUAGCUGGUCUGAGAGGAUGAUCAGCCAAACUGGAACUGAGACACGGUCCAGACUCCUACGGGAGGCAGCAGUGGGGAAUAUUGGACAAUGGGCGCAAGCCUGAUCCAGCCAUGCCGCGUGAGUGAAGAAGGCCUUCGGGUUGUAAAGCUCUUUUGUCCGGAAAGAAAAGCUCUCGGUUAAUACCCGGGGGUGAUGACGGUACCGGAAGAAUAAGCACCGGCUAACUUCGUGCCAGCCGCCGCGGUAAAAC
rnacentral:rRNA from 1 species